ensembl:lncRNA
AGGCAGUUAAGAGGGCUAAGUGAGCCUUUUGCAGGGCAAGGCAAAAACCUGCUUUAAGAACUUUUUUAAGGGGGCUAAAGGAGAGACUUUGCUGACCAAAAGAUUUUGAAGAAACAAGAUGUCUGGAUCUAACAAGGGAGUGACUGGAUUGUGCAUCAUGCUAGGAAACGCUGGGCAAAAGAUUGAACUGCUUUGGUUUUCUUGCCUAUACGUGAGCCGAGGAAGAGGUAUAAUGAGUUUCGGUUAAGACUCUGUUGAAAAAUACCCUAUGGAAAUAACUGAAAAUGGAUUUUUUUUAAUCACAAUUUGUACCACCUUACAAGAUUUGAACAGUGAAUUUGCCAGCAAUUAAUACAAUAGGUAGAGAUGACAGAGAAAAUAGUUUUUCAUUUGAUUAACUACAGAUGUCAGUGUGCAUGCAUGCCAAACUGUUCCUCAACUUUGGAAACAAUCUUCCCCUCUAUAGGAAGAGAAAUAACAGCAGGAGAUGGACACUGACUACAGGACCUGGAAGGUGUUUCAGGUUACUUGAAGGCAAAUCCAAGCCAAUCAAUUGUUAGAUACUUAGUAGUUGUUAAUUGCAUCACUUUCUGUCACAGCACAGCUGUGCUGCUGUAAUUUGGUUUCUGCUGCACAAAACCUGUGCUUAUUUAUAGCUUGUAUAAUUGCACACUAGAAUGGCUUUAGAUAGUGAGGAGAUUAAUCAAUCAGUAGUGGCUAGCACUUUCUUAAGCAGACAAAAAAGAUCCAACGGUCCAGGGUGGACCUUUGAGACACUGAAAGAACCUAACUGCCAUGGACCAUGGCGGAAAAAUUUGGAGGGAAUUCUAAGGUGCAGAGGACAUCUCUUUGCUGUGGACAUCUCUGUGUUAUGGAUGCACUCAGUACUUCUAGUGAGUUUUCUCCAAAAUCAAGCACGCCAUCUGUGCCCUGUUUGGAUAUAGACAUUAUUUUUAAUUCCUUUCUGUUAGGUGUCACUCAGCACCUGCAAAUGUAUUCUCAUCUUUGAUGUGUGAUCGCUUGAUUAUUCAAGCUCUCUCAUCAAACUUAACUUGUAGUUGUUGCACCUGUACUGACAGCAUCUGUUCUGCCUGUGCUACAGGAUGGCCUCCAAACCAAACUCCUUGCAGGUCUGGUCUCCCAUGGCCUUGCUGCGUAUGCUACUUUGAAAAUGUGUGUGUACAAUGUUAACCUGUCACAAUUCUCCUCUGUCACAUACCUAUUUUAUACACAGAGGUUCUAAUGGAGAACUCAUUUUUGGAUUGCUGAUGUGCUCUCUUGAAAUGACUCAGGGUGAUUCCUUUGGAGCAUCCCUUUAGACCUGGAUUGGUUGAUGUAAAGAAAAAUAAUGGCAGUGUUGCAAGGGCUUUGCUGUACAGCUCCUUUCAGAUAAGUCGUGUGGGUUCCUGCCUGGCUAGCUUGAUCAUGUCUCUCUUUUUCACAUGACGUGAGUGUUUCAGAAAGAUCUCUAUACUAGGGACAAAAAAAAACUUGAAAACUCUUGAAAAUCUGAAACAGUUUUACUCCAAUUAGGUGGGAGGAGAUCAGAGUUUUAGGCUGAAAUGAAGUACAAUCCCUUUGAAGUGCUGAAUAAAUAGUAGCAGCCUUCAGAAGGAAGAGAACUGACAAUGUCUGAGUUUUACUGAGAUGUAAAAUAAAAUUUAUUAGCUACG